rnacentral:rRNA from 1 species
AUACGGAGGGUGCAAGCGUUAUUCGGAAUCACUGGGCGUAAAGGGUGCGUAGGCGGUUUGAUAAGUCUGAUGUGAAAUCCUAUGGCUCAACCAUAGAACUGCAUUGGAAACUGUCAGACUAGAAUACUGAAGGGGCAGAUGGAAUUAGUGGUGUAGGGGUAAAAUCCGUAGAUAUCUCUAGGAAUACCGAAAGCGAAAGCGAUCUGCUGGGAAGUUAUUGACGCUGAGGCACGAAAGCGUGGGGAGCAAACGGGAUUAGAAACCCUAGUAGUCC